rnacentral:rRNA from 1 species
GACGAACGCUGGCGGCGGGCUUAACACAUGCAAGUCGAACGGAAAGGCCCUGCUUUUGUGGGGUGCUCGAGUGGCGAACGGGUGAGUAACACGUGAGUAACCUGCCCUUGACUUUGGGAUAACUUCAGGAAACUGGGGCUAAUACCGUAUAGGAUCUCCUGCUGCAUGGUGGGGGUGGGAAAGUUUCGGCGGUUGGGGAUGGACUCGCGGCUUAUCAGCUUGUUGGUGGGGUAGUUGCUUACCAAGGCUUUGACGGGUAGCCGGCCUGAGAGGGUGACCGGCCACAUUGGGACUGAGAUACGGCCCAGACUCCUACGGGAGGCAGCAGUGGGGAAUAUUGCCCAAUGGGCGGAAGUCUGAUGCAGCAACGCCGCGUGCGGGAUGACGGCCUUUGGGUUGUAAACCGCUUUAGCCUGUGACGAAGCGUGAGUGACGGUAAUGGGUAAAGAAGCACCGGCUAACUACGUG